rnacentral:lncRNA from 1 species
CCCGGGCCGGAAGGGCUCCUGCGCAGGCGUUUGUAGCCACUUUUAAGUUUUAUCAGCUAGUUCAUGCUUGCGUUGAAAGAGUGGUCGUUUGCGCUGGGUCAUCACUGUGUAGUAUUGGGGAUACUUAGGUGAGAAAAAAACUUAACGCUAGAGACGUUCACGCACUAGUGGAGAAGCCAGGAUUGUUGCCCUAGAGUUACAGUAGAUAAAAGUACCUCAGAGAACUGCGGGGGCUCCCAACCUGGACGCUUGCACCGGAGUAUUAAAUCCAGCUAGAGAAUGGCAUGUGCAAAGAUACAGAGCUUUUAGAAGUUGCCUGCAUUCCUUGGCCCCUUCCUCACAUCAUUCCAACCAACUUCCAUCCUUACAAUCGAUUACUUUCCUGUAAUAGCUACAGUCAAAUGGGCAGCUGAAGAUGAUGAUGAUGAUGAUCUUGACACCGAGAAGCAGAAGACCAAUGAAGAUGACCAGACAGCAAAAAAGGAUAAGUUAAAAGAAGGUAAAAGAAGGCCACUCGUACUUGCUGUCUCAGUAUCUAAAGGUGGUCACCUUCCAGUAGAGAGGCCCACCCACUGCAGACCGUGCCACCGAAGGUGACAUGCACUUUCUGCCACCCAUCCAAAACCGUAACGUGAAUCUGCAACAGGAGAGGAAAGAAGAACCAAAACUUCCAAGGCCUUGCAUUUUUUCUUAAAAGCAUUUUUUUUUUUUUUUGGAGAUGGAGUCUCACUCUAUUGCCUGGAGUGCAGUGGCGUAAUUUCGGCUCACUGAAGCCUCUGCUUCCCGGGUUUAAGAAAUUCUCUGCCUCAGCCUCCCAAGUAGCUGGGAUUACAGGCACAUGCCACCACACCUGUCU